GAUGAACGCUGGCGGUAUGCCUUACACAUGCAAGUCGUACGAAAGGUUUUACCUUUAGUGGCGGACGGGUGAGUAACACGUAAGAAUUUACCUUUAGGAGGGGGACAACAAUUGGAAACGAUUGCUAAUACCCCAUAUGCUUUUAAGUAUAUGCUUUUAAGUGAAAUGGAAUUUUCCGCCUAAAGAGAAGCUUGCGGCUGAUUAGCUUGUUGGUAAGGUAAUGGCUUACCAAGGCGACGAUCAGUAUCUGGUUUGAGAGGACGAUCAGACACACUGGAACUGAGACACGGUCCAGACUCCUACGGGAGGCAGCAGUGGGGAAUUUUCCGCAAUGGGCGAAAGCCUGACGGAGCAAUACCGCGUGAGGGAUGACGGCCUAUGGGUUGUAAACCUCUUUUUUCAAGGAGGAAUUCAUGACGCGUACUUGAAGAAUAAGCAUCGGCUAACUCCGUGCCAGCAGCCGCGGUAAGACGGAGGAUGCAAGUGUUAUCCGGAAUCACUGGGCGUAAAGCGUCUGUAGGUGGUUUAGUAAGUCAACUGUUAAAUCUUGAGGCUUAACCUCAAAACUGCAGUCGAAACUACUAGACUAGAGUAUAGUAGGGGUAAAGGGAAUUUCCAGUGGAGCGGUGAAAUGCGUAGAUAUUGGAAAGAACACCGAUGGCGAAGGCACUUUACUGGGCUAUGACUAACACUGAGAGACGAAAGCUAGGGUAGCAAGUGGGAUUAGGUACCCCAGUAGUCCUAGCUGUAAACAAUGGAUACUAGAUGUUGAACAGAUUUUCUGUGCAGUAUCAAAGCUAACGCGUUAAGUAUCCCGCCUGGGAAGUAUGCUCGCAAGAGUG
rnacentral:rRNA from 1 species